AUUGAACGCUGGCGGCAGGCUUAACACAUGCAAGUCGAGCGGGGGAAGGUAGCUUGCUACCGGACCUAGCGGCGGACGGGUGAGUAAUGCUUAGGAAUCUGCCUAUUAGUGGGGGACAACAUCUCGAAAGGGAUGCUAAUACUGCAUACGUCCUACGGGAGAAAGCAGGGGAUCUUGGGACCUUGCGCUAAUAGAUGAGCCUAAGUCGGAUGAGCUAGUUGGUGGGGUAAAGGACUACCAAGGCGACGAUCUGUAGCGGGUCUGAGAGGAUGAUCCGCCACACUGGGACUGAGACACGGCCCAGACUCCUACGGGAGGCAGCAGUGGGGAAUAUUGGACAAUGGGGGGAACCCUGAUCCAGCCAUGCCGCGUGUGUGAAGAAGGCCUUAUGGUUGUAAAGCACUUUAAGCGAGGAGGAGGCUACUCUAGUUAAUACCUAGGGAUAGUGGACGUUACUCGCAGAAUAAGCACCGGCUAACUCUGUGCCAGCCGCCGCCGUAA
rnacentral:rRNA from 1 species